rnacentral:lncRNA from 1 species
AACCUAGGGCAAGUGCUCUACCCUGAGCUCUGUCCCCAGGCCCCUCAAUGUGAGCUUAGAGCUUAGGGCCCAAACUCAAAGCGCUUAAGAGACUCUCGGGCCUGCUCAAGCUCUUACUCGAGGCUGUACCUCAGUUGGAGAGACUUUGAGGAUUGGAAGUGCCCCAAUGGCAGAAAGUAUACGACAGAGAGUGAUUUGGCAUUCUUCAAGUUUUCCUAACUGGGCAAGACAGUUGUGUAAGUUCUAGAACACCCAGAAUAAAAAGCUUAACCUAAGGAUAACAUCUGGACACUGGGAUGGCUGAGAACAUCUGGACACUGGGAUGGCUGAGAACAUCUGGACACUGGGAUGGCUGAGAACAUCUGGACACUGGGAUGGUUGAGAGCAUCUGGACACUGGGAUGGCAUACUUUCAUUAUACAUACCAAUAUGCCUGCACGUCACAGGUGCUUCUGGGAGUACCUGAGUUUGCAGGCCAGGUUUAAGUCUGAGGGACCCAGAUUCCUGUUCUCACCUGUUGUCCUCAGAGUGGACUAUCGGACUCAGGUUUUUAAAAUUUGUGGGGAGAUGUUUGCAUCUGUGCUCACAAAGCACCCACAGUUCCCUCUUUUUGCAGUGCCACUCUGUGGGUGAUCCUUCUCUUGAAAAUACAGAGUGUUUAUCUGCUUCUUCAGAAUCAUGAGUUUUCCUUCCUCUCAGCUAUGAGUUUUGAUUUCUGAAAUAUUGAUAGAAUUCCCCUCUGGCAAUAUCUCAUAUUGUUUCUUUUUUUUUCUUUUUGGCUAGGUCUCACUUAUGUAGAACAGCCAAAAAUAAUAUAAUAUUUCAAAUUAAAAUUGAAGGUUAUAUAAAUAAUGAAUGAUAUAUAAGUAUGUUUAUCCCAAGCAAUGUUGUAGAUAAAAUUAACUUAAAUAUUUGAAAUUAAAAUUUAACUUACUUUAGAAAAUUGAAAGCAUGUUCACAUACAUACUUAUACAUGGAUGUUCAUAGCUGUUAUUUGUAUAACCCUCAAAGCAUAAAUGAUGAGUGGAUUAACAGUGGUCUAUCCAGAUGAAUGGGAAUACAAUGGCCAUAUGUAUUAGUCAGGGUUCUUCAGAGAAACAGAACAGUAAGAUGUGAUAAGAAAUUUAUUAUUAAGAGUGGCUUACAUGGGCUGGCUCAAUAGUUAAGAGCACUGACUGCUCUUCCAGAGGUCCUGAGUUGAAUUCCCAACAGCCACAUGGUGGCUUACAACCAUCUGCAAUGGAAUCUGAUGCCCUCUUCUGGUGUGUCUGAACAUAGCCUGAGCAUACUCAUAUACAUAAAAUAAAUAAACCUUUUUUUUUUAAGGUGGCUUACAUGAUUCUGGACAGUUGAUAACCCAUAAUUUGCUGCCUGGAUUCUGGAGACCCAGAAAAGCUGAUGAUGUAAUUCAACCCAUGUCCAAAGACCCAAGAACUGGGGGACCUGAUAUUGUUGAUUCUGGUCUGAGUGUAGGAAAAGGUGAAGUGGGGUGCCCUACCUCCACAGGAAGCCAGAACAAGCAAUGAAUCUCUCCUCUUUCUCCCAUCUUGUUUUAUUCAAGCCCUCAGCUUUUCAGGUGCUGCUUUUUCCCGUUGGGGAGUGAAAUCCACUUCACUGCAGCCAGAGGCUCAAAUGUGCAUCUCUUCUGGAAACAGUCACACAGACAGACCCAGAAAGAAUGUUUAACAAAAUAUCUCAGCUUUCCCUGUUCUAGUCAAAUAGGCACAGCAAAUUAAUAAUGACAUCAUGCAAUGGAACAGUAUCCAUCCCCAAAAGAAUGAUGUGAUGCUUACACUGUAAUACGAGUGACUCUAUAAAAUAUGCUGUGUGAAAGAGGUUAUAUCGGAGGGUUAUAUAUUUGAGUCUAUUUGUGUGAAUAAAUAGAUUGGAAAAGAAAGCAGAUUAGUGUUGCCAGGGACUGGAGGAACAGAAAAAUGGAGAAUGAUUGUUAGUAAACACAGGUUUCUUUUGGAGGAGAUAAGAACAUUCCAGAAUUAGGGCGUAGUGAUAGUUACAGAACUCUGUGCUUAUAUUGAAAAUUACUGUCUGUGUGCUUUCAAAAGGUAACUCAUAAAUGUGUUAUAGCUGAAUAAAAGCAUACAAUAAAAAUUAACAAUAUUCUGAAUUAUU